GAGUUUGAUCAUGGCUCAGAUUGAACGCUGGCGGCAGGCCUAACACAUGCAAGUCGAGCGGUAGAGAGAAGCUUGCUUCUCUUGAGAGCGGCGGACGGGUGAGUAAUGCCUAGGAAUCUGCCUGGUAGUGGGGGAUAACGCUCGGAAACGGACGCUAAUACCGCAUACGUCCUACGGGAGAAAGCAGGGGACCUUCGGGCCUUGCGCUAUCAGAUGAGCCUAGGUCGGAUUAGCUAGUUGGUGAGGUAAUGGCUCGCCAAGGCGACGAUCCGUAACUGGUCUGAGAGGAUGAUCAGUCACACUGGAACUGAGACACGGUCCAGACUCCUACGGGAGGCAGCAGUGGGGAAUAUUGGACAAUGGGCGAAAGCCUGAUCCAGCCAUGCCGCGUGUGUGAAGAAGGUCUUCGGAUCGUAAAGCACUUUAAGUUGGAGGAAGGGCAGUAAAUUAAUACUUUGCUGUUUUGACGUUACCGACAGAAUAAGCACCGGCUAACUCUGUGCCAG
rnacentral:rRNA from 1 species